rnacentral:rRNA from 1 species
ACUGUGGCGGCCAAGCGUUCAUAGCAACGUCGCUUCCUGACCCUUCGAUGUCGGCUCUUCGUAUCAUUGCGAAGCAGAAUUCGCCAAGCGUUGGAAGCGUGCACUGGUCGGAAAACAACCAAGUUGAAACCUCGCGGCGUC